CAACCCGCUCGCCGUGGCCGAUGCCCCCGGGCCUCGCCCGCCCCGCCCCGUCCGUCUGUGAACCCUAGCCCCGCGCUCGCACACUCCCUGUCGCGCCGCCGCCUCCGCCUUUGCUCACCGUCGGGCCGUCGGGCCGUUUCCUCUUUCCCUGAGGGCGGGGAGCCGGAGCUGCCCCCGCGCGUCGUCGAUCAUCUCCUCGCUGGCUGGACACCGUCGACCACGAAGCCGGUCUUCUCUAAGCGCGCGCCGCCGUAUGAGUCGCCGAGAUGCCGAGGCCAAGGCGGAGCUCCAGGCCAUCGAGGCCGCGUACGCCGCUGAGUCCGCCAGGCGUCGCCACCUCCCCGACUGUUCCAAGAUGCCAGCCCCCCGCCCCCGUCCGCCCACGGCCCAACCCAGUCCCCGCGGCCGCGUGUGCCUCCUCGCCGUCGUGGGUGCUCUCUCCCCACUUGCCAAGUGUGAGUACCAGCUACCCACCCAUGUUCUUCUCUGUAAUCAAGUGUUCGCGGGGAAGCUCAGUUAUGGUCAAUUCAUCUCAAAAUAAUGCAAACCCUUGCAGACUGCUCAGGAAGCAGCUGAGUACACUGGCGGCAUCGGUUGUAAAUAGCCGGACUAAAGGAUCUAUGCACAUAUCUGCACCCGCAAGUUUUAUUGCUGGAGUGUGGAAUGGUUUGAGCACGGCAAUCAAGUGGCAGAAUUAUUGUUGAAACAUGCCACCGUGUGAAGAUGAAUAGGAACCUUUCAUAAUUAUUCCCAAACAUGCCACCGUGUUAUCAUUGGCCAGUGCAGUUGUGUUACUUGAAGAAUAAUGGCAAGGGAGGUGGGGCGAUAUGCAUGUCCAUGGAGCUGUGUUACUUGGUCUUCGCGUCGCCCCUGGCCCUGACCUAGGGUUUGGUUUGAUGCAGCGGCGGAGGGCAGCAAGUGGAGAAAGAUGAAGGUUGCACAACACCAAGGGUGUGAAUGGGGACAACAAGUAGGCGGCGUGUAUACUACACCAAGGACGAUACAGGGCAUGAAGCAAGCAAGCGAGCAGGUGUACACAACGACCUGCUACUGCACUAAUAGCCUUGACAGAGCACCGGGGCCGGCUUGACAAGGCAUUUGGGCGCCGGCAGACCCUGGAUGUGCGCGAUGGAGAUGAACCCCGCGUCGUUGCCUCUGCAGCCUGGAUAGAGCUAUGUCAGUGCUGGUGAUGAACCCCACGUCUGUGCUGGUGAUGGCGCUAUCCAUCUACUUUCUCCACUGGCUGUCAGACAGUAGAGAUCACAUUGUGGAUUUAUGUUUUCUUCAGAGUGUUCUCCCGUCAUUGUUGGAUGUCGAAUUUGCAAGGCAAUCCGUCUCUAUGUCGAUGUCUUAACCACUUCGUACUUCCGCACAAUUAGCAGAAUAGAGCAGUUGCCACAAUUUACCCAUUGAUUUCUUGGACUGAUUCAGACCUAGGAAAGGCUGCUACUUGUGCAAGCAACAUGUUGUGCUAAUACUUUGUGUGCACUUCAGCGGGAAUGAAAUUUUCUUGCUACCAUGUGUCAUGGUAGUAGGUUGCUGCGGCAAAAAACUGGUAAGCCCCCUAAGAGAGGAAAAGUGAAAAAAGUCCCAUCCUGCUUACCAUGUUUUAUCUUAAAAAAUUGGCUUCUAUUUUGUUUCUAACCUAUAUCUCUGCAUGGUUUCUUUCUCCAAACAUGCUUUUGCUGCAACCCUGGUCAACUGGCUUGAACAGAGCUCACAUGAGUCACCGCCAAAUGACCCUUUUUUGAAAUUCAUUCUCUUAUGCACUGAGAAAGGAGUUACUCCAUGUCAGUAUGUACAUACAGAUGCAAGCAAUAGAUAAACUGAUGUAGAUGAUGAUUGAAGAAAUUUUCAGGAAUUUUCCAAUCUGAAUUGGCUACAGAGUUGGGGAAAAGAGAAGUCUAGGCUCUGAUGAACACAUCUUCUUUCCUAGCUGACUAACAGUUGGCACCUCUAUAUUUACAUUACAUCAGGCUAGCGCUACAAAGCCCAUGUAUGCCUUUGUCCGCCUACCUGCCUCAAUGGACGUUCUGAUCACAAAAAAGUAGAUAAAAAUACACAUCAGUUUGUCAGAAUACAUGUUGGUUAUCUUACGAACGAGUAUAGCUAUCACAAGAAUACAGCAAAUAUGUAUCAAUUUUUCAAUGAAGCAAACUUAUAUUAUGAUUAUCACAUUUUGAUCUUGGAGUAAUGGUCGACUUUAGUUGAUGGUUACUGCAGCCUGCACUAGUCCAAUAUUUCUAAUUACAAGUUUUAGCUCCAUCGGGAUAAUCUGAUUAGUGUAUCACAAGCUUGAUGUUUUUAAUCGUGCAAUUUUGUAGUUAUUUUAGUGUUAUGUAGAACACAUAGACUUUUCACAACAGAAAGAAAUCGAUGUAUAACCUGAUUUUGCUUUAUUGUUUAGUACCAGUUGACUUUGUAAAUCCCAGUUUCUCCAGUGUUGUAACUCUGUCAGAUCAUCAAAUUAAACUAAUCUUUUUCUUUGGACAGCUUGUAAUUUGUAAUAUUAUGAUUUUCCUUUUCAGAAACCACUUCAACUAGCCUAGGACCAUCUCUGGUCUGACAUGCGAGGCGCCUACCGAGUGCCUCCCCAGCUUAACGGUCCCAAACCCAAGCGAUUAGAUACGAAGUCUACUCAGCAGGAGGAGCAUGAACAGUUGUGAAGGAGAACCCCACUGCCUUGGACCAGGUUGCUGAACCAGAAGCAGAAGGUGCGAGGGGCACUGUUCAAUAUCUUUAGGAAUGAAGCCAUGAGGAUGCUACCUAUUCUUUCCUUUCAAGUAUCCGGCACUACGAGCUGCAUUAGCUUCACCUCAGGAUGUUGAAAGAGGAAGUAGGAGUUUUCAGAAAUGA